CGCAAACACACACACACACAGACUGACACACACACACACACACGUGCAAAACACUUCCUCUUAGUUUUAUUACAACAGGAUGUAGCCUAGCACCAUUAUGCAGAUAGCCAGUGUAGCAGUUAAGUCAAGGCUAGGAUUAGCAUACGAUGUUAAUUCACAUGAAUAAAAGUAAGCUCUCAUGCCCCUAUUCAUCCUGACACAAUAAGGUUAGGCCAAGAAGUUUCUGGUAAUUAGAUGCACGCUUUAUACACAAUCAUUACAAUCCUUGUGUAUCAUUCCUAGACACGUAAACAGGGUGACCCUUGAAGCGGUGAAGGCUUUUGUUGCUUAGCUAUCUAUUAUCUAAACUCGUUGUUCUCAUACAGUUUUUGAACAACGUCCAUGUCCACGGUUUGUCACAUGCUAAUCGAGACCAUUAAAAACCUUGCAUCGGAUAUAUCACCGCAACAUUGCUCAAUCCUCAACCCUCUCAGAGUUGCGCAUUCUGUUUAGCCCAACAUGCUUAGAGAGGCUAAGUCCCGCCCACCACAUGCAUCACUCCUGGACCUUAGAAUGGAAAAUAGUCGCAUCUGAGUACGUCUAAUGUCAAUGUCAUUUGUCUUGCACAACAAGAAACGUGUUAUUUGUUAAAAAAGGUGUGUAACGCCCGUUGUAACACGUGGCUAAAGAGGAAGCAAAAAGUAUCCUCAAAUAACGUUUGUGACAGCGUUUUAGCUACUUUGUGUUUAUGUAUGGUUACUAGCCUGCUAUCAUCUGUCUUCAGUCGCUUGCAUUUUCUGCACGUACACAGUUGUUCCCUGCCAGCUUGUUUAACAAAUUAUAUGAUGUGGAAAAUUCUAUUUCAAUCAGACAAACCUGCCAGAGGCAUUGAGCGAAGAAUUAGAUUGAAAUCAAAACUUGUUGCUAGUAAUGAUUUUUUUGGUCAUUGUGCAGUAAUUAAUCGUCAUUACGGGGAGACAUUGUUAUGUUCAAAACCGCCCAAGCAUUUCUCAAGCGAGACGUGGCAGAACACGGUUUAAUUGGCAGAGGUGACGGUGGUAAAUUGAAAUCCUAAAUCAAUUUACGUCGAUUUAGGAUUUUACAGCUAGGAUUGCUGCUCUCUUUAGUCCUCUCAAUACGGCUCUCAGCAUCGCCAAAUAAACAUCCCAUGAUGCAUUCUGCUGUACAAGCCCCAUAUAGCCUUAUAGAGGAAGGGGAAUCCACACAAAUUGUUUGAUCAACUCCUCAAGAGUAGUGGGGGGAAGGAGACAGAGGUUUGGCAGGGAGGAGGAGGAGGAGGAGGAGGAGGAGGAGGAGGAGGAGGAGGAGGAGGAGGAGGAAACCAGGAUGACGGAGAGAACAUGCCCUGAGUGUUGGCCCCUGCUCCCCAACAACAGGUGUAUAAGGGCCCCUCUCCACAGCCUGGCCCCCUCAAAGCCUUUCCAAGUGAAUAAAGGGCGACCAGGGUUUACACUCAACACUGGGUUCCUCCCUCCCGCUCUCUCUGUCUCCUCCUAUCAGCCGUCUCAGAGUCUGAACUCUGUGGCGCGGGGGGGGGGAGAUGGGAGCCAGGGGGUGACGUGGCAGCCAUGCUCUGAUCUGACGGUGCCUGUGAAGAUCUGAGGGGAGGUUCCAGCCGUAUGGCCGCAGCGCAGCCACUUCCUGCUUUAAACACACACACACACACACACACACACACACACACACAGCGCCUACACAGACACACAGAUAGACACACAUACACAGACAGCCACAGACACACAUACAUUGAGUCACACACACACACAUUAACAGACAAACGCACAUAGACACACAUAGUCAGACACACACACACACACACACACACACACACACAAACACACACGCAAACACAGACAGACAAACAUAAAUACAGUCAAACACACACACACGGACAAACACACACAGACAAAUGCACAGUCAGACACACACACACACUAACACACACAUACAGAAACACACACAAACACACACAGAAAGACACACUGCAUCCCCCCUUCCAUCCAAAGAGAGACCAAAAACACCCAGGGAGGCUGACGUUCUGAUAAUCCCGGCUGUGGGUUUAGGCCCCGUUCACACGAAGCCGAUUUCAUGGCGAAACCGCAAAGGUCUUGUACGGUUCGGCCUUCCGUACACCCGAAGCCGGCGAAUCCGCUGACCGAAACCGCAAACUUCUGAAACCACCCUCGGAGGUGGUUUCAAAUCUACCCGGUUUCGUUUUGGAUUCGUGUGGACGCCUGAAACCGACUGAAACCGCAAACCAUGACGUCAUCGCCCCACCCCUCGACCUCCUAGCCAAUGGCUCUUAAGCCCGCAGAGUCUCAGAAAUCACAUGCGAGCCUGCGCAUAAGGGCAGCCUUUAUGCCUAUGCCUUUAUGCGCAUGCUCGCCUCUUCUUCUUAUUUAAUUUCUUCUGGAUUUCUGUACCAGAAGCAGCGCCCCUUAUGGGCCUGGAAUGUGUACUACAGCGUUUCUACAGAUCUACCCGGUUUCGCUUGGCCUCGUCUUUACGGAGAUACUUCGAAACCGGAUAGAUCGAAACCGUAACGGUUUCGCCCGUUUCGGCUUCGUGUGAACGGGGCCUUAGGCGUUUCUCUUUCUUAUGCAUCGUUUUGAGUCUGUCUGAAUUAACACGCUUUAAAACCAGAAUUAUGCGGAAAGUGUAUCAGACAGCGCGUCCUUGCCUCAACGGCUCCGCCACACUUCAAGUCGCAUCGGCUCCAUAGAAUUAGCGUUUUCUCACCUCUGAGCUAUGUUUCCAUCCCCCUGUAUUUGCCAACCCGGGCUAAUCUGGGAUUCAUUAGGAACGAUAUGGUCCUAUGGAGCUAUGGAGAAUGCUGUUUUCUGGUCAAUUGAGACCACAACUGCUUUGAGUCUUAGUUCCCAUCACCCAUGUUGACAGCCUCACCAAAUUUGCCCCUUAAUGCCGGAGGAGUCAGAUCGGAUCCAGAUGUGCCUUGUGCCUUGUGUGUGCAGUCUUUCUUAAUUUCCUAUAUUAUUUUAGGCCUUCUGGCCGUGGAGCCAAUUAUUUCCGUUUAACAGAACGAUUUGAGGGAUCCGGCAGAAAUUCCAAAACAGUGACUACGUAGUAGUCACUGUUUUGGAAUGUUUUGGAAGCUUUCGUAGUCCCGACCUUCGUCGCGACUCGGGCUUUGAUUCCAAGGAAGGGCCGUUUGAGGUUGGAGAACAAGGUCUGGAGGGGAGGAGGAGGAGGAGGAGGAGGAGGAGGAGGAGGCGGAGGAUGAGAACGGAAUGAAGGUGAAUCCACACAAAUUGUUUGAUCAACUCAUCAAGAGAAGUGAGGGGAUGGAGACAGAGGUUUGGCAGGAAGGGGGGAUUUUAACAGGAUGCAGCUGAAACAUAUUUACAUUCUGGCGAGCAAUACAAUCCUCACCACUGCUUUCACUGGACUUAUCUUUCGCUUUCUGUGACUUUCACUCACUCUCGCUCCCUCCUGUAAUUGUAACUCAUCUCCUGUCUGCCCCAUCCAAUAUGUUACCUACUGCUUUUACUGAACUCAUAUUUCUGUCCCCCACCCCCACCUCCUCUCUCUCCCACACUCUCUCCCUCACCAGUCAUAUGACCAUAUAUAGCGCUGAGUCAUUUCCUUCAUCUCCUCAAGGACAGAUGUUGCCAUGUACACUGUAGGGUUUGGUUCAGAAGACCACAAACCUCCACCACC
ensembl:lncRNA